rnacentral:rRNA from 1 species
GUCGAGAAUAAUUCACAAUGGGGGCAACCCUGAUGGUGCAACGCCGCGUGGAGGAUGAAGGUCUUCGGAUUGUAAACUCCUGUCAUCCGGGAGCAAGACCUGGCCGUGAAUAGCGGACAGGGUUGAUAGUACCGGAAGAGGAAGGGACGGCUAACUUCGUGCCAGCAGCCGCGGUAAUACGAAGGUCCCGAGCGUUGUUCGGAAUCACUGGGCGUAAAGGGAGCGUAGGCGGCGCGGUAAGUCAGAUGUGAAAUCCUAGGGCUCAACCCUGGAACUGCAUCCGAUACUGCUGUGCUUGAGCAAUGGAGAGGUAGCCGGAAUUCUCGGUGUAGCAGUGAAAUGCGUAGAUAUCGAGAGGAACACUCGUGGCGAAAGCGGGCUACUGGACAUUUGCUGACGCUGAGGCUCGAAGGCCGGGGGAGCGAAAGGGAUUAGAUACCCUGGUAGUCC